UUGGAGGGCAAGUCUGGUGCCAGCAGCCGCGGUAAUUCCAGCUCCAAUAGCGUAUAUUAAAGUUGUUGCAGUUAAAAAGCUCGUAGUUGAAUUUCGGGAUCAAUAUUCCGGUCAUGCCGUUGGUAUGCACUGUUAUCAUUGAUUUCUCACCUUCUAAAGAACCGUGAUGCCAUUAAUUUGGUGUUACGGGGAAUUAGGACUGUUACCUUGAAAAAAUUAGAGUGUUUAAAGCAGGCUCACGCUUGAAUACAUUAGCAUGGAAUAAUGAAAUAGGACAUCCGAUUCUAUUUUGUUGGUUUCUAGGAUCGAUGUAAUGAUUAAUAGGGAUAGUUGGGGGCAUUAGUAUUCAAUUGUCAGAGGUGAAAUUCUUGGAUUUAUUGAAGACUAACUACUGCGAAAGCAUUUGCCAAGGAUGUUUUCAUUAAUCAAGAACGAAAGUUAGGGGAUCGAAGACGAUCAGAUACCGUCGUAGUCUUAACCAUAAACUAUGCCGACUAGGGAUCGGAUGAUGUUAAUUUUUUAAUGACUCAUUCGGCGCCUUACGGGAAAC
rnacentral:rRNA from 2 species